rnacentral:rRNA from 1 species
AACGAACGCUGGCGGCAUGCCUAACACAUGCAAGUCGAACGAGACCUUCGGGUCUAGUGGCGCACGGGUGCGUAGCGCGUGGGAACCUGCCCUUAGGUUCGGAAUAACUCCCCGAAAGGGGUGCUAAUACCGGAUAAUGUCUUCGGACCAAAGAUUUAUCGCCUUUGGAUGGGCCCGCGUUGGAUUAGCUAGUUGGUAGGGUAAAAGCCCACCAAGGCGACGAUCCAUAGCUGGUCUGAGAGGAUGAUCAGCCACACUGGGACUGAGACACGGCCCAGACUCCUACGGGGGGCAGCAGUGGGGAAUAUUGGACAAUGGGCGAAAGCCUGAUCCAGCAAUGCCGCGUGAGUGAUGAAGGCCUUAGGGUUGUAAAGCUCUUUUACCCGGGAUGAUAAUGACAGUACCGGGAGAAUAAGCUCCGGCUAACUCCGUG